rnacentral:rRNA from 1 species
UACGAACUGUGCAAACGUUAUUCGGAAUUACUGGGCUUACAGGGUGCGUAGGCGGCCUGUCAAGUAGGGUGUGAAAGCCCCCGGCUCAACCGGGGAAUUGCGCCCUAAACUGUCGGGCUGGAGUGAGAUAGGGGUGUGUGGAACUUCCGGUGGAGCGGUGAAAUGCGCAGAUAUCGGGAGGAACACCCGUAGCGAAGGCGGCACUCUGGGCCGUGACUGACGCUGAGGAGCGAAAGCGUGGGGAGCAAACAGG